rnacentral:tRNA from 1 species
GGGUAAUGGCUAAUGGCUAAUGGCUAAUGGCUAAUGGCUAAUGGGUAAUAGUAAGGGAAAGGGUUUCGCUCCCUUCUUACUCUCC